UACGUAGGGACCGAGCGUUGUCCGGAAUCAUUGGGCGUAAAGAGCGUGUAGGCGGCCACUUAAGUCCUGCGUGAAAUCUUGCGGCUCAACCGCAAGCGGUCGUGGGAAACUGGGUGGCUAGAGUGCGGGAGAGGAGAGUGGAAUUCCUGGUGUAGCGGUGGAAUGCGCAGAUAUCAGGAGGACACCCGUGGCGAAGGCGGCUCUCUGGAACGCAACUGACGCUGAGACGCGAAAGCGUGGGAGCAACAGG
rnacentral:rRNA from 1 species